GCUGGAAUCGCUAGUAAUCGCAGAUCAGAAUGCUGCGGUGAAUACGUUCCCGGGUCUUGUACACACCGCCCGUCACACCAUGGGAGUUGGAAAUGCCCGAAGCCAGUGACCCAACCGUAAGGAGGGAGCUGUCGAAGGUGGAGCCGAUGACUGGGGUGAAGUCGUAACAAGGUAGC
rnacentral:rRNA from 1 species